rnacentral:lncRNA from 1 species
AUUUUCCUUUUGAUCUCUUUUAUUUUCUCUCUGUAGAGGAAAAGGGUUAAGUAAACUCAAAAGCUCCUCCUUUUUAUUCAGCUAUGAGUUCGCUAAAACCUCAGAUUAUACCCUUUACAGCAACAUAGUUGGCUUUUGGGGAGUUUACUUCUUUGCUUCUUCUUUGUACCAUUCCCCUGCGAAAAAGAGGCAAAAAAAUCCGAUUUUUUGAACUGUGUUUUGUUUAUAAAGCAAUGGUACAAAGAUAUUUGAGCUCUUCUGUUGAAUUUGGUAUAUUCCUCAUUAUUUUCAGUCACAAUUUGAGAAUCACCUCAUAUUAAGAUUACUUUAAGGGUGCGUUUGAUUCACGCUAUCUUUUAAAGAUUCCUAGUAAUCCAAUGGGAAUAAAAAAAUAUGACGGUGUUUGGCUAAACGCACUAAGUAAUCUAGUUGGUAAUAUUGGAUUAACUUGGGAAUAAGAUUCACCCCAAAGUACUAAUCUCAUUCCCUUGAGAGAGGGUGGGUAUCUUCAUAUUAAUGGAUUGGGGUAAUCAUAAUAUGUCUAAUCUCUUUCUUUCGUCCUACCCGCCGACUAAUUGAUAUUAUUUUUCUUUACAGUCUAACCUUAUAUCUCUCUCUAAACUUAUUUUUCUCUCUAAAAUUCAACUUUUUUUUCUCUCUCUAAACUAAGCUUUCUCUCUCUCUCUCUCUCUAAAAUUUCAACUCUCUCACUCCCUCUAAUUUCGACUAUAUUUUUCUUUCUAUUUUUUUAAUUAUGCUCUCUCUCUCUAACUUAUACUCUCUCUCCCUUUUUUCUAAAAAGAUGUUGAAACUUUUGGUAAUAUUAUCUAAAAUUAAUUAAAUAAAUAAAUUAAUUAAUUGUAUAUUUUUUGUAAUAUUAAAUAACAUGGCUAAUUAAUAUUACCGUGCGAACCAAACACAGGAAUUCCACGUUCUUAGUAAUAGGAUGAAUAGGAAUAAGAUUCUCGGAUAUCUUUUAUUCCUAGUAAUCUUUCAUAAUGCGAACCAAACGCACCCUAAGUAGUUUGUGAAUCCUGAGGCUAUAUUCUUAUAGGAAAAGUUGGUUCUUUUUGUG